GUUCCUCAGAAAAACAUUCUCUGUCCAGGAAUGCCUCAGCAGUGGAAAAAAAAUCUUCUGGAAAUCAGAAAAAUGUUGACGACUCCAUAGGUCCCACUGCCCCUGUUUUCCAGAGCUGUGGCUGCUUGGCCAUCCCCCUUUGGAGGGCUGGCUGCCAGAUGUCUUAGGGACCUUACUAAGUCUUGCAUUCAGGCUCUUGGCCCUGAUGAAGCAGAAGCUGCCUGCAGGCAGCUUUUGGACAGCUGGAUGAAGAUAUCACUCAUCAACCAUCAGCCCUCUCCAGCCCUGGGAAAAGGUGGUGUGAUGGAAGGGCACUCUGUGCUGACCUGAGGAAUGCUGCAGCUUCUCCUGGGGUUUGACAGUGAAAGUCUCCCAUGAGAUCUCCUGAGACUGAGGUGGCAUGGAUCUUCAUUUGGAUUUCAGGAGACAUGAACAACAGCAGCCUGUGAAGACAACGCUUCUGUGAAGGACAAACCCUUCACCCUAUUUCAGUGCUUCCUUGAGGCACAUCUAUGUUCCUGGCUGUGGAAGGAGCCAGUGGGGACAGGACCGUGGACAUAAACAAGAUUUCAAGCAGCCUGAACCAUCUGAGGUCCCUCCCUGAUUGUUUUUAGGACAAACCCCUACUGCAGGCACUGGGAGGAAUUUCAAAUAAGUGGCCAAACAUCUCAGGAACUUGGUUCUGGUGCCCUGGAUCAACCAGCAGUGAUGGGAGCCCACUGGUAUGUGUGUGGAGGGGAGCAGAGACAGAAAGGAAGUAAUAUUGAGUCACAGCAGUCAAGAAAGAUCAAAGAUUGGCUAUUUUUGACACACAAAAGGAGCAUCCAUUUCACCGGUCCAAGCAGCAGAGAAGCUGUGGCACAUCUUAAUGCUACUGGGAAAAAUCAGCUCAUGAAGGUGUUGGCUUCCCUUCUGCUGCCAUGAUUGUUUUUAUUCCCAGAGGAAAGUCAUCCAAGUAGAAGAGAAACCUCAAAGCUUAAAGUGGAUCUGCUGAGAUAUUUGCUCUAUGUUUUGGGCUUUUUACAAAGUGGUCUGGAUCAAGGUUGGAAAUUGUGAUUGUUGUGUAAAAGCCCGAGAUCUCAGGGCAAUGCUGGUUUCUGGGCAUGUACUUGGGAGUGAGAAAUGCUAAGACUGUGCUUGCUGAACUUGAACCUCUUUUCAUUGGCAACAGAAAAUUUUGUCAGGUUGUUCCUCUCCACCUCAUGUGAAGACCAUCUACCUAUUUUAAUCACUUA